UACGUAGGGGGCAAGCGUUGUCCGGAUUUAUUGGGCGUAAAGAGCGUGUAGGCGGUUUGGUAGGUCCGCUGUGAAAACUCGAGGCUCAACCUCGAGACGCCGGUGGAAACCAUCAGACUAGAGUCCGGAAGAGGAGAGUGGAAUUCCCGGUGUAGCGGUGAAAUGCGCAGAUAUCAGGAAGAACACCCGUGGCUAAGGCGGCUCUCUAGUACGGUACUGACGCUGAGACGCGAAAGCGUGGGGAGCGAACAGG
rnacentral:rRNA from 1 species